rnacentral:rRNA from 1 species
AUUGAACGCUGGCGGCAGGCCUAACACAUGCAAGUCGAACGAGUGGCGGACGGGUGAGUCAUGUCUGGGAACCUGCCUGAUGGAGGGGGACAAAUACUGGAAACGGUAGCUAAUCAGGCAUACCAUCGGAUGUGCCAAGGUGGGAUUAGCUAGUAGGUGGGGUAAAGGAUCACCUAGGCGACGAUCCCUAGCUGGUCUGAGAGGAUGACCAGGCACACUGGAACUGAGACACGGUCCAGACUCCUACGGGAGGCAGCAGUGGGGAAUAGUGCACAAUGUGCGCAAGCCUGAUGCAGCAACGCCGCGUGAAUGAAGAAGGCCUUCGGGUUGUAAAGUACUUUCAGCGGGGAGGCGUUACCCGCAGAAGAAGCACCGGCUAACUCCGUGCCAGCAGCCGCGGUAAUAC